rnacentral:piRNA from 1 species
UAGUUACCAAAAUAGGAUUUGGCCAGCA